GGGGAUGAUCGGCCUAGACAUUGAUGCUCGCUUACUCGUGCGUUCCGAGGAUGUUUGUUGCCUCGUAAAUCACGCAAACAAAACUUAAGUGUAAAAAACACUGGGUCGGUGGCAACACCGUACUUUACUCCAGCUUUCGCUUUAGCGUAAUGGCUGGUGUCCAGCCGUAGCCGCGCCUUGCCGUGCGGCCUGGGCAUAAUAUCUGCAAGGAUAGGUCCCGUGGUCUGUUUCGCCACCCGACCGAACUAAUAGAAACUUUGAUUGGCUAAGAUUUGGACUGUUUUAUACUUAGCCCGUCGAGAACCUAAAGCAGUCUACGACCGUAGACGCGUUUAAGCAUCAUCUCUGCACCCGGGUUCGAUUCCCGGCAUCUCCACCA
rnacentral:tmRNA from 1 species